rnacentral:tRNA from 1 species
UCCCUGGUGGCUCAGAUGGUAAAGCGUCUGCCUGCAGUGCGGGUGACCUGGGUUCAAUCCCUGGGUUGGGAA